rnacentral:rRNA from 1 species
GACGAACGCUGGCGGCGUGCCUAAUACAUGCGAGUCGAGCGCAGGAAACUGACGGAACUCUUCGGAGGGAAGGCAGAGGAAUGAGCGGCGGACGGGUGAGUAACACGUAAGGAACCUGCCUCAAGGAUUGGGAUAACUCCGAGAAAUCGGAGCUAAUACCGGAUAGUUCAACGGACCGCAUGGUCCGCUGAUGAAAGGCGCUUCGGCGUCACCUUGAGAUGGCCUUGCGGUGCAUUAGCUAGUUGGUGGGGUAACGGCCCACCAAGGCGACGAUGCAUAGCCGACCUGAGAGGGUGAUCGGCCACACUGGGACUGAGACACGGCCCAGACUCCUACGGGAGGCAGCAGUAGGGAAUCUUCCACAAUGGACGAAAGUCUGAUGGAGCAACGCCGCGUGAGUGAUGAAGGUUUUCGGAUCGUAAAACUCUGUUGUAGGGGAAGAACACGUACGAGAGGAAAUGCUCGUACCUUGACGGUACCUUACGAGAAAGCCACGGCUAACUACGUGCCAGCCGCCGCGGUAACAC